ensembl:lncRNA
CUAAUUCUCGCGCGAUUCGGACACGCGUCUACUUAAAGUGCGUCCGAAACCGCCUACUUCUCUACUAUAUAGUAGGAGAAAAGCAGUAGGCGAGCGAAUAAGUAUGUCCGAAACCUCAGUAUUCAUAAAAGAGUAGUCGAGAAGUUCCCGGAUGUCCUACUGCUUCUGCCCAGCUUCUUGAGUGCUCGUCGAUGGAUACUUCGGCCACACGAGAGGAUACAUCAUAAAGAAGAAGAAGAAGAAGAAGAAGAGGAGAUCAAACGCGCUCUGCCAGAAGAAUGGUGGGUUGAGGCUGGCUCUGGAGUCGGAGGCGGUUUGGCAACAGCUGAUCUGUGACUGGAGAGUGCAUGGUAGGAAGUGGCGUAGAUUCCGGAAGUGAUCCGGAAAUGGAGGAUGAAGUGUUUGACGCGGAUGAAGGCGGGAAUGGAAAUAAUGAAUGGAGUAUAGUAGAAAAUCGAAAAAGAAAGAAAAGCUGGAGUAACGCAUCUGCAACUGACAGUGAAAAUGGAACACAUCUGACAAGAAGAAGGAAGGAAGAGUAUAAGGUAGUGAUGAAACUUGAAACCGGAUCUUUCAGUAUCAUUAAUCCGCUGAAAUUAUCUAAAACAAUUAAGGAAGUGAUAGGACUGAUUGAAAGUGUUAAGAAGUUGAGGGAUGGUAGAUUGAUAAUAUAUUGUAAGGAUAGUAGGCAACAAAAGAAGGCUCUAGGAGUUAAAUCGAUCAUGGGACAAAGUGUGAUUUGUUCAGUACAAGAAGAAAAGAAAUGGGUGAAAGGAGUAAUAACAGGGAUCCCCACAGAUGUAACAGUUGAAAAGAUUAAGAGAGGUCUUACGGGAGCCGCAGUGAUUGAGGUGAAAAGACUAAAAUGCAAUAGGAAUAAUGAAAGGGGAGACAGUCUCUCUGUGAUGAUUCAUUUUGAUGAGGAUAAGCUGCCUAGUAAAGUCUUUUUGGGAUUUAUGAGCUUCUCGGUCAGGCCCUAUGUACCCCCUCCUCUAAGAUGUUACAAAUGCCAAAAGUUUGGGCAUGUAGCGGCUGUAUGCAGAGGCAAACAGAGGUGCGCAAGAUGCGGCGGAGACCAUGAGUAUGGCAAAUGUGGGCAAGGAGUUAAUCCCAAAUGUUGUAAUUGUGGAGAGGAUCACAGUGCGGGAUAUGGAGGAUGCAAGGUGAGGAAACAUGCGGCUCAAGUUCAGAAUGUUAGAAUACAGGAAGGAUUGUCAUACUCUGAGGCUCUAAAACAGGUAGGAAAGAAUUUGGAAUCAGGAGACAAAAGUAAAGAAAUCCUUCAACAAAAGACUGAUAUGGCAAAGGAAAAAACUCAAGAGAAAGUUGGGAUUAAGAACAAUGUUGCAUUUGUUACUUUUAUGGCGGAAGUAGUGAACUGUUCAGCGCAAACUGAAAGCCGGACAGAAAGAAUCAGAAUUAUAAUCAAAGCAGCGGAAAAGUAUCUAGAGAUCGAGGGUAUCUCGGUGGAUAUGAUUAAUGAGAACUUAAAGAUGCAGACAACAUACACCCAACCAGGAUGUGGUGGUACAUAAUGGUGCUUUUAAUAUUUCAGUGGAAUGCGAGAAGCUUAAUAGCUAAUGGGCAAGAAUUUAAAAAAUUAAUUUCUGAUUUGGAAAAUAAACCUGAUAUAAUAUGUGUUCAAGAAUCAUGU